GAUGAACGCUGGCGGCGUGCCUAAUACAUGCAAGUCGAGCGAACAGACGAGGAGCUUGCUCCUCUGACGUUAGCGGCGGACGGGUGAGUAACACGUGGAUAACCUACCUAUAAGACUGGGAUAACUUCGGGAAACCGGAGCUAAUACCGGAUAAUAUAUUGAACCGCAUGGUUCAAUAGUGAAAGACGGUUUUGCUGUCACUUAUAGAUGGAUCCGCGCCGCAUUAGCUAGUUGGUAAGGUAACGGCUUACCAAGGCAACGAUGCGUAGCCGACCUGAGAGGGUGAUCGGCCACACUGGAACUGAGACGCGGUCAAGACUCCUACGGGAGGCAGCAGUAGGGAAUCUUCCGCAAUGGGCGAAAGCCUGACGGAGCAACGCCGCGUGAGUGAUGAAGGUCUUCGGAUCGUAAAACUCUGUUAUUAGGGAAGAACAAAUGUGUAAGUAACUAUGCACGUCUUGACGGUACCUAAUCAGAAAGCCACGGCUAACUACGUG
rnacentral:rRNA from 1 species